AAGUGUCAGGCCAAGAUUGAGAAAAUCUUGCCACAGCUUGGCAGACUGUGCAGCCUGCAGCCCUAGAGGGAGACUGA
rfam:Yokose virus, complete genome